CAGCAAACAAAAACAUAACAGUAGGAGAGGGUUGGGAUACUCACUUUGUGAGUGCUUUCCAGUCCCACCACAGCUCUCACAGAACAGCAGAGAUAUUUGUGAUUUUUCCCAUUGAGUUAUAUAUUCUCUCUCCUUCUGAAAAAUCAUCCGGGUCUGAGUGAGGGAGGACCUUUUGGCAGAUCUCUCCAGUUGUACACAAGACAUAUCCACACUACUGCAGCUGGCAGUGUCCUUUUCCAGCCCAAGCAAACUGGCACCAUUACCUGUUGAGGGAAGUAGAGAAGUUAACCAGAACAACGACUUUGGAAGGCAUCCAGAAGGCCAAGAGAGGUGCUGCUCAGAUGGGAGCACUGCUGUAACCACGGUGUUCCUCAAAACCACCAGCAAAAUAACCUACUUUGCAACAUGUGUGUAGAGUGGAGUGCAAAGCAAACAGCACAGGUAUUUCAAAUUACAU
rnacentral:lncRNA from 1 species